UACCUGGGCCCCUAGUGGUGACCGCUAUUUUUGGGUUUAAAGCGUUCGUAGCCGGUUUGUUAAGUCCUUAGUGAAAUUCGGCAGCUAACUGUCGACAUUGCUGGGGAUACUGGCAGACUUGAGACCGGGAGAGGUAGAGGGUAUUCUUGGGGUAAGGGUAAAAUCUUAUAAUCCCAAGAGGACCACCUGUGGCGAAGGCGCUCUACUAGAACGGAUCUGACGGUGAGGGACGAAAGCCAGGGGAGCAAACGGG
rnacentral:rRNA from 1 species